rnacentral:piRNA from 1 species
UACUUGUUGACACUUUCGUUGGGUCUGC